rnacentral:rRNA from 1 species
UACGUAGGGUGCAAGCGUUAAUCGGAAUUACUGAGCGUAAAGCGUGCGCAGGCGGUUUUGUAAGUCAGAUGUGAAAUCCCCGGGCUUAACCUGGGAACUGCGUUUGAAACUACAAGGCUAGAGUGUGGCAGAGGGGGGUGGAAUUCCACGUGUAGCAGUGAAAUGCGUAGAGAUGUGGAGGAACACCGAUGGCGAAGGCAGCCCCCUGGGUUAACACUGACGCUCAGGCACGAAAGCGUGGGGAGCAAACAGG